rnacentral:rRNA from 1 species
UACAGAGGUCUCGAGCGUUGUUCGGAUUCAUUGGGCGUAAAGGGUGCGUAGGUGGCGCUGUAAGUCGGGUGUGAAAUCCUGAGGCUUAACCUCGGAACUGCAUUCGAUACUGCGGCGCUUGAGGACUGGAGAGGAGACUGGAAUUCAUGGUGUAGCAGUGAAAUGCGUAGAGAUCAUGAGGAAGACCAGUGGCGAAGGCGGGUCUCUGGACAGUUCCUGACACUGAGGCACGAAGGCCAGGGGAGCAAACGGGG